CAGGAAGCGUCUCUCUUUUCCCCUCUGCUCCUGCUCCAGCGGCACAAUGUGAUCCAUCAGCAAGAAGGGACGCCAAUAAGGCAUCUGAUAAGUCUUAUAAAAUAUAUAUGUUUAUGAUAGUUAAGACUGAGCUAACAGAUGAGAAUCCUAGUCAUUGGCCAAGCAGCAUUGUACCUAAUACAAGUCUUUCUGUGUAUUCAUUUGGGCCUAACUCAGGUCAAAUGUAAGCUCUCAGCUACUGCUCCAGUGCCAUGCCUGCCUGCUGCCAUACUCCCAACCAUGAAGGUCAUGGAAUCUAACCCUCUGGAACUCUACUGACGGUGACCGAACCUAUGCUGACCUUUGCUAAUAGAACUGCAGGUGUAAUGGAACUGUGGACAGAUGUGUGAAUGGACUCAUAUUGUUAAGAAUUACCCCAUGGAUUGGAAAAUAAAAUCUUCGCCUGUGCUGUUUAGAGGUUUAAUGUGCUACACUAUUGACUGUGGUUGAUUAAUAAGUCAUUAAAUAAGAGUCUGAAGCUAAUCCAG
rnacentral:lncRNA from 1 species